AACGCGAAGAACCUUACCCAGGCUUGACAUCCUUGGAAGCACUGCGAAAGCAGAGUGUGCCUUUUGGAGCCAAGUGACAGGUGUUGCAUGGCCGUCGUCAGCUCGUGUCGUGAGAUGUUUGGUUAAGUCCAUCAACGAGCGCAACCCUUGUGAAUAGUUGAAUUUUUCUAUUCAGACUGCCCUGGUAACAGGGAGGAAGGGGGGGAUAAUGUCAGGUCAGUAUUUCCCUUACGUCUGGGGCUACAAACACGCUACAAUGGCCGGUACAAAGGGCUGCCAAGUCGCGAGACGGAGCAAAUCCCAUCAAAGCCGGUCCCAGUUCGGAUUGCAGGCUGAAACCCGCCUGCAUGAAGUCGGAAUCGCUAGUAACGGUAAGUCAGCACAUUACCGUGAAUACGUUCCCGGGUCUUGUACACACCG
rnacentral:rRNA from 1 species